rnacentral:rRNA from 1 species
GUCCCGGCUAACUUCGUGCCAGCAGCCGCGGUAAUACGAAGGGGGCUAGCGUUACUCGGAAUUAUUGGGCGUAAAGCGUGCGUAGGCUGCUUAGUAAGUCAAAAGUGAAAGCCUUGGGCUCAACCUAAGAAUUGCUUUUGAAACUACUAAGCUUGAGUACUGUAGGGGGUAGCGGAAUUCCUAGUGUAGGGGUGAAAUUCGUAGAUAUUAGGAGGAACACCGGAGGCGAAAGCGGUUAUCUGGACAGUCACUGACGCUGUUGCACGAAAGCGUGGGGAGCAAACAGGAUUAGAUACCCUGGUAGUCCACGC